AGGGACCUGAGUUGAUGCACAUCCCAGAAUAUGCCAGGAAGAAAAGAGGAAGAAGUUGUUGUAAUGGCCACUGUGGACUCGCACAUGGACAAAGCACCUGAUGAGCAGGAUUAAUGCCAAGAGUUUUGCCUUGGGAAGGGGCCAGGCUACAGAGAUACUUAAUUUACAACCCGGCUCAGAG